rnacentral:rRNA from 1 species
CCUACGGGUGGCAGCAGUGAGGAAUAUUGGUCAAUGGGCUUACGCCUGAACCAGCCAAGUAGCGUGAAGGAAGACUGCCCUAUGGGUUGUAAACCUCUUUUGUCAGGGAGUAAUUGGCGCUACGUGUAGCGUUAUCGAGAGUACCUGAAGAAAAAGCCUGGCCUAACUCCGUGCCAGCAGCCGCGGUAAUACGGAGGAUGCGAUCGUUAUCCGGAUUUAUGGGGUUAAAGGGGUGCGUAGGCGGAAUGCCAAGUCAGCGGUAAAAUCGCGGGGCUAAACCUCGCGCCGCAGUGGGAACUGGCGUUCUUGAGUGGGCGGGAAGUAUGCGGAAUGCGUGGUGUAGCGGUGAAAUGCAUAGAUAUGACGCAGAACUCCGAUUGCGAAGGCAGCAUACUGCAGCCCAACUGACGCUGAUGCACGAAAGCGUGGGUAUCGAACAGGAUUAGAUACCCGAGUAGUC